rnacentral:rRNA from 1 species
GUGGGGAAUAUUGGACAAUGGGCGAAAGCCUGAUCCAGCCAUGCCGCGUGUGUGAAGAAGGUCUUCGGAUUGUAAAGCACUUUAAGUUGGGAGGAAGGGCAGUAAGUUAAUACCUUGCUGUUUUGACGUUACCGACAGAAUAAGCACCGGCUAACUUCGUGCCAGCAGCCGCGGUAAUACGAAGGGUGCAAGCGUUAAUCGGAAUUACUGGUCGUAAAGCGCGCGGAGGUGGUUUUGUAAGUUGGAGGUGAAAUCCCCGGGCUCAACCUGGGAACUGCCUCCAAAACUGCAUGACUAGAGUACAGUAGAGGGUAGUGGAAUUUCCUGUGUAGCGGUGAAAUGCGUAGAUAUAGGAAGGAACACCAGUGGCGAAGGCGACUACCUGGACUGAUACUGACACUGAGGUGCGAAAGCGUGGGGAGCAAACAGGAUUAGAAACCCUGGUAGUCC